rnacentral:rRNA from 1 species
UGUUUUAGAACAAAGCUCAUGAAAUUUUAAGUAUUGAUACCAAAAGAACCUAUAAAGUUAAAACUUUCAACAACGGAUCUCUUGGCUCUCGCACCGAUGAAGAGCGCAGCGAAAUGCGAUAACUAAUGUGAAUUGCAGGCAUCGUGAAUCAUCGAGUUCUUGAACGCACAUUGCGCCCUGUGGUAUUCCGCAGGGCAUGCCUGUUUGAGCGUCGGUUCAUUCUAUUGAUAGAUGGGCUGAGUUUACGAGGCCCGCCAGGGCGUCGUUUAUUUGAAAUACAAGACUACGGUUUAGUUGUGCUACUACGUAUCCACGACUACCCACCUCUUCUAAUUCGACCUCAAAUCAGGUAGGAAUACCCGCUGAACUUAAGCAUAUCA